rnacentral:rRNA from 1 species
GUGUCAGCAGCCGCGGUAAUACGGAGGGGACAAGCGUUGUUCGGAUUUACUGGGCGUAAAGGGCGCGUAGGCGGGCCUUCAAGUCGGCUGUGAAAUCUCUGAGCUUAACUCAGAGUCUGCACUCGAUACUGUAGGUCUUGAGUACCGGAGAGGAUGAUGGAAUUCCAGGUGUAGCGGUGAAAUGCGUAGAUAUCUGGAAGAACACCAGUAGCGAAGGCGGUCAUCUGGACGGAUACUGACGCUAAAGCGCGAAGGCUUGGGGAGCAAACAGGAUUAGAAACCCCAGUAGUCC